AGGGUUGCUUGCACCCCGCUGACGAGCGGCGGACGGGUGAGUAAUGCAUAGGAAACUGCCCAGUAGUGGGGGAUAGCCCGGGGAAACCCGGAUUAAUACCGCGUACGCCCUUCGGGGGAAAGCAGGGGAUCUUCGGACCUUGCGCUAUUGGAUGUGCCUAUGUCGGAUUAGCUAGUUGGUGGGGUAAAGGCCUACCAAGGCGACGAUCCGUAGCUGGUCUGAGAGGAUGAUCAGCCACAUCGGGACUGAGACACGGCCCGAACUCCUACGGGAGGCAGCAGUGGGGAAUAUUGGACAAUGGGGGCAACCCUGAUCCAGCCAUGCCGCGUGUGUGAAGAAGGCUUUCGGGUUGUAAAGCACUUUCAGUGAGGAGGAAAACUCUGCGACUAAUACUCGUAGGGCUUGACGUUACUCACAGAAGAAGCACCGGCUAACUCCGUGCCAGCAGCCGCGGUAAUACGGAGGGUGCAAGCGUUAAUCGGAAUUACUGGGCGUAAAGCGCGCGUAGGUGGUUUGAUAAGCGAGAUGUGAAAGCCCCGGGCUUAACCUGGGAACGGCAUUUCGAACUGUCAGGCUAGAGUAUGGUAGAGGGUAGUGGAAUUUCCUG
rnacentral:rRNA from 1 species